GAAAUACGCCCUUACAGCUGGGCAGUACACAACCCGGACAACUGCACAUAACAGUCCCGAGUGCCGUCCACAACUUACUACAGACACUUUGUAGGAGAAGGGGGGUCUGCUUCUCCCAGGAGGCCAUAAGCUCUCAGAGGCUAGGGCAGUGGGUCCUCUGGAGGCACAUCCAGAACCCACCCCUGGCUGGAUCUAAAAUCAGCACUCGGUGACUGCUAAGCUAAGGGUCACACACUGCUGUUUUUGUUUUUUUUUUUGGCACUGGGGACUGAACCCAGGGUCCCUCAACCACUGAGCCCCAUCCCCAGCCCUAUUUUGGGUUUUAUUUAGAGACAGGGUCUCACUGAGUUGCUUAGCAUCUCAUCAUUGCUGAGGCUGGCUUUGAACUCGUGAUCCUCCUGCCUCAGCCUCCCGAGCUGCGGGGAUCACAGGCAUGUGCCCGGCCCACACCUACUUUGGCAGCCGGAGAAGCCGUGGCCUACACCAGCUCUGGCCGCCCCGGGUGGCACUGUCUGCACGGACCCCUCUCCUCUGGGGGAGGCCACGGUCUCCAGUCCCUGCUCUGCCUUCUCUCAAGCCACAGCUGGACGCACACCCCAGUGUGGGUGGCCACCUGUCCCUGACUACAGAGAGCUGAGGGGCAAGACCUGUCACCAGGCCUGGUGCUUGGUGAUGCAGGAGACCCGCCUCAUCCUGCACCCCGAGGGACAAGCCCAGGGUGGCCCAGCUGCUGUCCAGCUCCAGCCUGGGCAGUGUCCAGCCUUCAGGGACCCCGCCAGCCCCCCAGCAGGCAGACCUCCAGCCCUGGCCAACGGGGGGAGCCAGACAGGUCAUCCCAGAACCAGCCAGUCUGUCCGGAAAACUCUCA
rnacentral:lncRNA from 1 species